UUCAAAAUCAGAUCUCUAGGGUUUCAAGUUUCACUUUGAAUUUCUCUUUCUCCGGUGAAUCUCGCCGCCGCCGCCGCCGCCGCCGCUGCCGCUGCUCGACCGUUCCUCACGCCCUCUGCUCUCACCGUUUCAGGUAUUCCUUCUCUCUUACUCGUUCUCUCUCCCCUUGCCAUCUACGCUUCCUCACCGAUCUCCCUCCACCCCCUGCUCUCGUUCGCGGCGCCGUCGCGAAUCGCCGCUGCGUAUCCUUGCUAUGGUAUCCUCAUCGCUGCUGCUGUCGAAAGCUCGCGGCAGUUCGGCAGUCGCCGAGGAAAUCUCGGCUGCGGCGGGCGAUGAGAGCGUGAUUCGGGAAGAUAAGCUGCGUAGCACAAGGAAUCAUCGGCGACAUACGACUGGACCGAGGAAUGGUAUCCGUUGUACCUCGCGAAGCAAGUAUCGGACGACGCGCCGCUAGGGCUCACCGCGACAUCUGCCGCAAACCGCCGCGGCUCGAGCAGCACCAGCGGUCGUCGCCGCCAGGUGCACCUCCACCGUGGAAUCGACCGAAUGUCGAACGUUGUCGAUUCGAGGGUGAGAAAUGAGCAAAGAGGAACAUGAACUCAGCUUUAUCCAGGCUGACACAUGUUUUAAAUGAUCAUGUUAUCCUAAUUAAGAUUUAUAAACUUGUUUCAUAUAACUUAUUAGCAUAUAAUGUGAAAAAUCUAUGCUACUGAAAUUUCAAAUUUCAGCUUAAUCUAAAUUUUUCACUUUAACAGACCAAUUAACAUAUAUGAGUAGUUUAGUUGCAUUUUCUGAUUCCUCAUACUGUUGCAUUUAUCCGGAAGGCACUUGGUUGUUUUGAUUGUCCUUAUUGUUUAUGUUGGGCUACUAAUUUCCUAUUGCCUUUACCAGGUAUUUUGCUUAUUAAUUGCAUCUUCAUAGCAUAUUAUACUAGUUUUCAAUUUCCAAUCUAUCAUUGUAGCAAGGGCUUAUCUAGGUUCAUGGGUUAAGCCCCAAAAUCCUAGGGGACCCUUUGAAAAUCCAUGUUCUUUUCCAAUGAUAGAUUGGCUUCUCAUAUUGCGUUGAACUGAUUAAUGAUUUCUAAUCGAUGAAAUUUCCAAGAACAAAUCUGAUAUGGAGACCAUCUUGUCCUAUAUUUCCAGCCUUGGUUUCAGAAGCAGCGUCUUACUUAUGUAAAGCAUAAACAUGUCAUUGUAGGAAUCCUAAAGCAUUUUAGUUCAAGUCCUUUGGGGAAGCUUAGCACAGAAGAUGGAAAACCUAAUGUUGAUGUAUUAAAGAAGAUCUUUAAAAGGAUUGAUGAUGACGAUGAUGGAAAACAUUUCACGCAUAGAAAUAGGGAGCAAAUGCGAUCUAUUUUGCUUUGGUUGUAGCAAAUGCGAUCUAUUUUGCAGCAAAUCCUUUCAUGCAUGGAAAAGGAUCUAGUAUUGUAGGAUCUGGUAUUCCAAUCUUGUUUUGGUUGCUUCAGCAAAUGUGAUCUAUUUUGGGGAUCAGAGCAGAGCAGGUGAGUGUUGGUAUUAUUGAAAAAUAGAGAAUUAGGCAGCAACAUCAAUGGUUGUUGCUCGAAUGCAUCUUCUCAUCUGAAAAUCUACCAAACAUUCAUAUUCUCAGUCCCAAUUUUCUUCACAUUUAUACUUUUCUUGUUUUAUUGGUUCUAUCACACUCACAAUUUCACAUAUAUGAGUAGAUGCAUAAUUUGUUGUAGUCCUCUGCAAGUCGAUUAACUCUCAACAUUUCCUUUCACUGUGAUUACAGAAGGUGAAAUUCGCGCCCAAUCCCAGCCUUCACUCUUUCGAAGUAAAUGAUGUUGAUUCCUCUGCUCUUACAGCAAGAUAUUUAAUUUAAAGGAGAAUAUUUUAUUUUAAUCUCAACCAUUUCACAGGCAAUUAAUUAAAAUGAAAAUUCAAGACUUCAUAGUUGAAUUUAGUCAUAAUGCUUGCAGGAUGGAAAUGAGUUAAAUUCACAGUUGAAUUUAGUCAAAAAGCAUGAAAAAUGAAGUUUGUUGGACAAUCUCUAAUAUAACUGUUGGUAACAGAGCUCAAAUUCAGGUACUUGGUUCAUACAUUGCAUAAUUGUUUGACUCUUAAUUCGUAUGUUCUAUUAUAGGAUGGUAAGCUGAAUUCACUAGAAGACAAGCAGGUUCGGGUUUUCCUUCAAAUGAGAUGUUCUUGUUUGGGCAGUUUGUGGCUUUUUAUGUAAGUCCAUAUAUAAUAUUAAUGUCUUACUAAGUGAUGAUAUUUAGUUGUUUGGGCAGAUGGUGAUUUACCUAUUACUAUGGACAAGUUAUGAUGAGAUUAUUUGUUAACUUGUAAUGAAAAUCACAACUCUAUUAUUUUCUCGACUUGUGUUAUGUUUGAGAUGUGCAGGAUAGGAAGCUUGGGAUCAAUUCAAUGAAUUGGGAUGGAAGUUUGGAUGGAUGAAUGGAAUGUUGUUGACUGAAAGCCGCUUAGAGUACUUAUUUUUUGUUGAAAAUUGUAAAUUGACUAUUCUAGCUACUUAGAUACAUUACUUGGUUGGUUAAUAUUUAACAGUUUGAUUAUGGAUGGAUGGAGUUAUUUGGAUUAUUAAAUAUUUAUAUAAUAUAUGUUUUGGUUGUAGCA